rnacentral:lncRNA from 1 species
CCUUGAAGAAAUGACUAAAAUACCCUCUUCUUCCCUACUUCUUCUUCCCUCGCAUAAACAAGUCCUCUACUUCUUCCCUUGCGGAAACCAGUCUUCACCCUUCUUAUCCACCGUCAAUUUCGUCCUUGUUUGGCCAAAAGAACAUCGUUUUUUCCAUCUCCCCGACAACCACUUUCUUUCUAUCCGGAACGAUUCAAGAAAAAAUUAGAUUAAAAAAAAAAGGGUUGUCCCCUUUAUAUUGAGUUUCAAAGCAACACUGACCUUAUUUCAUCAUUCAACCACCACAACUUUUGUCACCUUCUUCUCCUCUACAAAACCCAUGGAAAGAUCGUACCAAACAGUGCUGAAAGGCACAAAAUCGAUCUCAAAAUAUCUUCUUAAAAUCAAGAUCUUAAUAGAUUCUACGGAUACACUUGAUACAACGAAACAUUCGGACUAGGGAAAAAUGGAUACACUUCAUACAUCGAAACAUACGGACCAGGGAAAAA